GCUAGCGUAGCUCAAUAGGCAGAGCGGUUGAUUUGUAAUCAACAGGUUAGGGGUUCGAUUCCCCUCGCUAGCU
rnacentral:tRNA from 1 species